rnacentral:rRNA from 1 species
UCGAACGGAAAGGCCCAGCUUGCUGGGUACUCGAGUGGCGAACGGGUGAGUAACACGUGGGUGAUCUGCCCUGGACUCUGGGAUAAGCCUGGGAAACUGGGUCUAAUACCGGAUAUUCACUUUCUCUCGCAUGGGGGUUGGUGGAAAGCUUUUGCGGUUCAGGAUGGGCCCGCGGCCUAUCAGCUUGUUGGUGGGGUAAUGGCCUACCAAGGCGACGACGGGUAGCCGACCUGAGAGGGUGAUCGGCCACACUGGGACUGAGACACGGCCCAGACUCCUACGGGAGGCAGCAGUGGGGAAUAUUGCACAAUGGGCGCAAGCCUGAUGCAGCGACGCCGCGUGAGGGAUGACGGCCUUCGGGUUGUAAACCUCUUUCACCAGGGACGAAGCGUGAGUGACGGUACCUGGAGAAGAAGCACCGGCCAACUACGUGCCAGCAGCCGCGGUAAUACGUAGGGUGCGAGCGUUGUCCGGAAUUACUGGGCGUAAAGAGCUCGUAGGCGGUUUGUCGCGUCGUCUGUGAAAUUCUGCAACUCAAUUGUAGGCGUGCAGGCGAUACGGGCAGACUUGAGUACUACAGGGGAGACUGGAAUUCCUGGUGUAGCGGUGAAAUGCGCAGAUAUCAGGAGGAACACCGGUGGCGAAGGCGGGUCUCUGGGUAGUAACUGACGC